UGUGUCUUCGAGUCGUUGAUUUCACACUGCCGAGAAAAGCCUCUAGAUAGAAAAUAGGUGCCCGUACCGCAAACCGACACAGGUAGUCAAGAUGAGAAUUCUAAGGUGAGCGAGCGAACUCUCGUUAAGGAACUCGGCAAAAUGACCCCGUAACUUCGGGAGAAGGGGUGCUCUUUAGGGUUAACGCCCAGAAGAGCCGCAGUGAAUAGGCCCAAGCGACUGUUUAUCAAAAACACAGGUCUCUGCUAAACCGUAAGGUGAUGUAUAGGGGCUGACGCCUGCCCGGUGCUGGAAGGUUAAGAGGAGUGGUUAGCUUCUGCGAAGCUACGAAUCGAAGCCCCAGUAAACGGCGGCCGUAACUAUAACGGUCCUAAGGUAGCGAAAUUCCUUGUCGGGUAAGUUCCGACCCGCACGAAAGGCGUAACGAUUUGGGCACUGUCUCAACGAGAGACUCGGUGAAAUCAUAGUACCUGUGAAGAUGCAGGUUACCCGCGACAGGACGGAAAGACCCCGUGGAGCUUUACUGUAGCCUGAUAUUGAAAUUCGGCACAGCUUGUACAGGAUAGGUAGGAGCCUUUGAAACGUGAGCGCUAGCUUACGUGGAGGCGCUGGUGGGAUACUACCCUAGCUGUGUUGGCUUUCUAACCCGCACCACUUAUCGUGGUGGGAGACAGUGUCAGGCGGGCAGUUUGACUGGGGCGGUCGCCUCCUAAAAGGUAACGGAGGCGCUCAAAGGUUCCCUCAGAAUGGUUGGAAAUCAUUCAUAGAGUGUAAAGGCAUAAGGGAGCUUGACUGCGAGACCUACAAGUCGAGCAGGGUCGAAAGACGGACUUAGUGAUCCGGUGGUUCCGCAUGGAAGGGCCAUCGCUCAACGGAUAAAAGCUACCCCGGGGAUAACAGGCUUAUCUCCCCCAAGAGUUCACAUCGACGGGGAGGUUUGGCACCUCGAUGUCGGCUCAUCGCAUCCUGGGGCUGUAGUCGGUCCCAAGGGUUGGGCUGUUCGCCCAUUAAAGCGGUACGCGAGCUGGGUUCAGAACGUCGUGAGACAGUUCGGUCCCUAUCCGUCGUGGGCGUAGGAAAUUUGAGAGGAGCUGUCCUUAGUACGAGAGGACCGGGAUGGACAUACCUCUGGUGUACCAGUUGUCGUGCCAACGGCAUAGCUGGGUAGCUAUGUGUGGACGGGAUAAGUGCUGAAAGCAUCUAAGCAUGAAGCCCCCCUCAAGAUGAGAUUUCCCAACUUCGGUUAUAAGAUCCCUCAAAGAUGAUGAGGUUAAUAGGUUCGAGGUGGAAGCAUGGUGACAUGUGGAGCUGACGAAUACUAAUCGAUCGAAGACUUAAUC
rnacentral:rRNA from 1 species